CUACGGAUGGUGCAAGCGUUACUCGGAAUCACUGGGCGUAAAGGACGCGUAGGCGGUUUGACAAGUUGGAUGUGAAAUCCUAUGGCUUAACCAUAGAACUGCAUCCAAAACUGUCAGACUAGAAUGAGGGAGAGGUCAGUGGAAUUAGUGGUGUAGGGGUAAAAUCCGUAGAGAUCACUAGGAAUACUCAUUGCGAAGGCGACUGACUGGAACUUUAUUGACGCUGAGGCGUGAAAGCGUGGGGAGCAAACAGGAUUAGAAACCCUAGUAGUCC
rnacentral:rRNA from 1 species